rnacentral:rRNA from 1 species
UACGAAGGGGGCGAGCGUUGUUCGGAUUUACUGGGCGUAAAGCGUGCGCAGGCGGUUUUGUAAGCCAGAUGUGAAAUCCCCGGGCUUAACCUGGGAACUGCAUUUGGGACUGCAAGGCUUGAGUACGGCAGAGGGGGGUAGAAUUCCUGGUGUAGCAGUGAAAUGCGUAGAUAUCAGGAGGAAUACCGAUGGCGAAGGCAGCCCCCUGGGUCGAUACUGACGCUCAUGCACGAAAGCGUGGGGAGCAAACAGG